rnacentral:rRNA from 1 species
UGGGGAAUAUUGCACAAUGGGGGAAACCCUGAUGCAGCGACGCCGCGUGAGCGAUGAACGCUUUCGAGUCGUAAAGCUCUGUCCUAUGGGAAGAUAAUGACGGCAACCGGAGAAGAAGCCCCGGCUAACUUCGUGCCAGCAGCCGCGGUAAUACGAAGGGGGCUAGCGUUGUUCGGAUUUACUGGGCGUAAAGCGGACGUAGGCGGACUAUUAAGUCAGGGGUGAAAUCCCGGGGCUCAACCCCGGAACUGCCUUUGAUACUGGUAGUCGUGAGUUCGAGAGAGGUGAGUGGAAUUCCGGGUGUAGGGGUGAAAUUCGUAGAUAUUCGGAGGAACACCAGUGGCGAAGGCGGCUCACUGGCUCGAUACUGACGCUGAGGUGCGAGGGCGGGGGGAGCAAACAGG